UCCUGGCUCAGGACGAACGCUGGCGGCGUGCUUAACACAUGCAAGUCGAACGAUGAUGCUCCAGCUUUGUUGGGGUGGAUUAGUGGCGAACGGGUGAGUAACACGUGAGUAACCUGCCCUCUUCUUUGGGAUAACGGUCGGAAACGGCUGCUAAUACUGGAUAUUCACUCAUUGGCGCAUGUUGGUGGGUGGAAAGGUUUUUUCUGGUGGGGGAUGGGCUCGCGGCCUAUCAGCUUGUUGGUGGGGUGAUGGCCUACCAAGGCUUUGACGGGUAACCGGCCUGAGAGGGUGACCGGUCACAUUGGGACUGAGAUACGGCCCAGACUCCUACGGGAGGCAGCAGUGGGGAAUUUUGCACAAUGGGCGCAAGCCUGAUGCAGCGACGCCGCGUGAGGGAUGAAGGCCUUCGGGUUGUAAACCUUUUUCGCUCAUGGUCAAGCCGCAGCUUUGGGUUGUGGUGAGGGUAGUGGGUAAAGAAGCGCCGGCUAACUACGUGCCAGCAGCCGCG
rnacentral:rRNA from 1 species